AUGGGGAAUAAAGGCUUUGUUCUUAUAAGAGAAAAAACUCGUGAAAGUAAUGAAGAUAAAGAACCUCCGACUCAAGCUGAAAUGUUCAUUGCUACUCGAGAAAGUAGGAAAGGAAAGGAGUUGAAUCAAGAAACCAAUCAUGUAAUUGUAAAAGCUUUUGAAAGUGUAUUGGGCAAACAAAAACCUGGGAGAGUGUCUUUCCACGGAAGAAUCACAAGACUGACUCUCUUGAAAAGAAAUGAAGAAAUUGUAAAACUUAAAAGAGAUCAUGAUGCUGAGGUUAAGCAUGUGAUACAAGAGAUGGAGGAGAAACAUUGUCAAGAGGAGGAAACAGAAAGAAGAAUUCAACUUCUUCUUAAGACCGUUCUGAAUCAAAACACCUCAGAUUUGGAUAUAGAGGCUUUGGCAGCUUUUAUAUCAGCUCCUACAACUGAUGCUAAUAGUGUCUUACAUUCUUCUACGUCAACACAUGCUCUAACUAAUGAUCAAGUUUUUCUAGUGAUUCAAGAUGUUAUAUUGAUUAGGAUGAUGAUUAAC